UACGGGGGGGGCAAGCGUUGUUCGGAAUUACUGGGCGUAAAGGGCUCGUAGGCGGCCAACUAAGUCGGAUGUGAAAUCCCCAGGCUUAACCUGGGAACUGCAUCUGAUACUGGAUGGCUUGAAUCCGGGAGAGGGAUGCAGAAUUCCAGGUGUAGCGGUGAAAUGCGUAGAUAUCUGGAGGAAUACCGGUGGCGAAGGCGACUUCCUGGCCUGUUCUUGACGCUGAGGCGCGAAAGCUAGGGGAGCAAACGGG
rnacentral:rRNA from 1 species